GGUGGCUUGGUGGUAGAGUGCUUGCCUCACAUGCAUGAGGCCCUGAGUUCGAUUCCUCAGCACCA
rnacentral:tRNA from 1 species